GGGAAAUUAGCACAGCGGUUCAGGGCAAGGGCCUUAUAAGCUCUAGAGGAGUGUUCAACUCACUCAUUUCCCA
rnacentral:tRNA from 1 species